rnacentral:rRNA from 6 species
AAACGACUCUCGGCAACGGAUAUCUCGGCUCACGCAUCGAUGAAGAACGUAGCAAAAUGCGAUACUUGGUGUGAAUUGCAGAAUCCCGUGAACCAUCGAGUUUUUGAACGCAAGUUGCGCCCGAAGCCAUCCGGUUGAGGGCACGUCUGCCUGGGCGUCACGCA